rnacentral:tRNA from 1 species
CCAACUCGCUUUUAGUGUUACGCNCCGGCCUGUCACGCCGGGGGUCGCGGGUUCGAGUCCCGUCCGCUGCGCCA